rnacentral:rRNA from 1 species
CCGUAAGGCUGGGCUGUGAUGGGGCGGGAAAUUUUAGUACCGAAGGUCAUGAGUUCAGGCUGCCAAGAAAAGCCUCUAGCCAGGGAGAAGGUGCCCGUACCGCAAACCGACACAGGUAGGCGAGCAGAGCAUGCUAAGGCGCUCGGAAGAACUCUCGUUAAGGAACUCGGCAAAAUGACCCCGUAACUUCGGGAGAAGGGGUGCCUCGGUAGGGUGAAUAGCCCGAGGGGGCCGCAGUGAAAAGGCCCAAGCGACUGUUUAGCAAAAACACAGGUCUGUGCGAAGCCGCAAGGCGAAGUAUACGGGCUGACGCCUGCCCGGUGCUGGAAGGUUAAGGGGAGCGGUUAGGGGCAACCCGAAGCUGUGAACCGAAGCCCCAGUAAACGGCGGCCGUAACUAUAACGGUCCUAAGGUAGCGAAAUUCCUUGUCGGGUAAAUUCUGACCCGCACGAAUGGCGUAACGACUUGGGCGCUGUCUCGACGAGAGAUCCGGUGAAAUUUUAAUA